rnacentral:rRNA from 1 species
UAGUCUGGUGCCAGCAGCCGCGGUAAUUCCAGCUCCAAUAGCGUAUAUUAAAGUUGUUGCGGUUAAAAAGCUCGUAGUUGGAUUUCUGUCGAGGGUGGGCGGUCCGCACUAUGUGCGUGUAUCUGUUACGGCCUUGGCAUCCUCUUGGGGAACGUGUCUGUGCUUGAUUGCAUGGCGCGGUAUUCAAGACUUUUACUUUGAGGAAAUUAGAGUGCUCACGGCAAGCAUAGCUUUGAAUACAUUAGCAUGGAAUAAUAAUAUAGGACAUUCGUACUAUUUUGUUGGUUUCUAGAACGAGUGUAAUGAUUAAUAGGGAUAAUUGGGGGCAUUCGUAUUAACGCGUCAGAGGUGGAAUUCUUGGAUUGCGUUACGACGAACUACUGCGAAAGCAUUUGCCAAGGAUGUUUUCAUUGAUCAAGAACGAAAGUAUGGGGAUCGAAGACGAUUAGAUACCGUCGUAGUCUAUACCAUAAACUAUGCCAACUAGAGAUGGGAGGUCGUUCUUUUUAUGACUCCUUCCGCACCUUAUGAGAAAUCAAAGUUUUUGGGUUCCGGGGGGAGUAUGGUCGCAAGGCUGAAACUUAAAGGAAUUGACGGAAGGGCACCACCAGGAGUGGAGCCUGCGGCUUAAUUUGACUCAACACGGGAAACCUCACCAGGUCCAGACAUAGUAAGGAUUGACAGAUUGAUAGCUCUUUCUUGAUUCUAUGGGUGGUGGUGCAUGGCCGUUCUU